GGUUUGUCUGUAUCAGACUUUCUGCCUUGACUACAACUUCCAACAGGCUGACCAGCUGAGGAUUUAACUGCUUUGGCACCUUACUCUGCUCAGUACCAAGUGAACAGAAAUCACUGGUUACUUCCGUCUCUGACCUUCAGGUGAAAGAACUGAGGACGUACACAGACAUGUAGAAGGAACAGUACCUGUGUAAAGGGCAGUGUUGUGGUUAAACACCAGCUCACAGCUAGCUGUCUGUGCCUGUGAAGGCCUUCUCCCCUUUAUCUCAACUGCUCCACACCUCCUUUUAGUAUCUGGAAGAAAUUCUGCUGCUCGAGGGUUUUGCAAAGGAGACUGAGCUUCAUCCCCUGCGAUUAGAGAAAGGCUAUUCGGCCUAUCCAAGUCUUUCAAAAGAUCUCUUAAAAGCAGCACUUGAGAAACCGAGCUAAAGUAGCAAUUGCUGCCGAAUCAUUCAUUUUCACAGCUGCCUGCUGCUACACCCUGCUAUUUUUUUCUUAGGCGUAAUUUGCUGCUUGACUCAGGAAGAAAACAAAAGGCAAGUUGUGAUGUUCAGCUUGAGACUCUGCUUUUACAUGUGCAGCGCAGCAGCGUGUAUGUGCCUGUCAGUCCAUGCAUACAUCCACAUCCAGGAAAUGUAUGCAGGGGAUGGUUUGAUACAAACUCUUUACCAGUUGAAGAUUGCUCAUGAGAAGCACCAAGGGGGAAACAGUUUCAUUUACUGUAUCCAGAGCAAAAGGGUCCUUUUCUGUGACUAACUCCCUUCCAAGCUGUGCUUGACUUGGAGAAGAAAAAAUCUCUGCUAAAGGCGUAGCUAAAUGGAAAAGGGCAAAGAGCAGGAUGAGAUCUACUGCUUGAAGUAUACCGGGAGA